UUGGCGUUGACUCCAAUUGAACCGCAGGCUUCACCCCUUGUGGUGCUCCCCCGCCAAUUCCUUUAAGUUUCAUACUUGCGUACGUACUUCCCAGGCGGCAGACUUAACGGCUUCCCUGCGGCACUGCAUUGGCCACAAGCCAAUGCAUCACCGAGUCUGCAUCGUUUACAGCUGGGACUACCCGGGUAUCUAAUCCGGUUUGCUCCCCCAGCUUUCAUCCCUCACCGUCGAACGUGUUCUGGUACACCGCCUUCGCCACAGGUGGUCUUCAAUAGAUCAAAGGAUUUUACCCCUUCCUAUCGAGUACCGUGUACCUCUCCCACUCCCUAGCUGCACAGUAUUUUCGGCGGCCUAUACGUUAAGCGCAUAGAUUUAACCGAAAACUUAUGCAACCGGCUACGGAUGCUUUAGGCCCAAUAAACCUCCUGACCACUCGAGGUGCUGGUUUUACCGCGGCGGCUGACACCAGAACUUGCCCACCCCUUAUUCACCAGUGAUUCUACAACUGACAAAAGACUCCUUUAGCAGGAGACACUCGGAUUAACCUUGUCGUGCUUUCGCACAUUGCAAAGGUUUCUCGCCUGCUGCGCCCCAUAGGGCCUGGGUCCGUGUCUCAGUACCAUCUCCGGGC
rnacentral:rRNA from 1 species